UGGGGAAUAUUGGACAAUGGGGGCAACCCUGAUCCAGCAAUGCCGCGUGAGUGAAGAAGGCCUUCGGGUUGUAAAACUCUUUUGUCUAUGAAGAUGAUGACGGUAGUAGACGAAUAAGCACCGGCUAACUUCGUGCCAGCAGCCGCGGUAAUACGAAGGGUGCUAGCGUUGUUCGGAAUAACUGGGCGUAAAGGGCGUGUAGGCGGCUCUAUGCGUCAGGUGUGAAAGUCCUGGGCUCAACCUGGGGACGGCACUUGAUACGGUAGAGCUAGAGGUUAUGAGAGGAAAGCGGAAUUGUGCGUGUAGGAGUGAAAUCCGUAGAGAUGCACAGGAACACCAGUUGCGAAGGCGGCUUUCUGGUAUUAACCUGACGCUAAGGCGCGAAAGCGUGGGGAGCAAACAGG
rnacentral:rRNA from 1 species